GUAGGCACUGGUUUCUGUUCCAUCUUCGAAGUUAAGCAGCAUCGAGUCUGGUUAGUACUUAGAUGGGUGACCGCUUGGGAAUACCCAGGACUGUAAG